rnacentral:rRNA from 1 species
UAAUAGUGUAUAUUAAAGUUGUUGCAGUUAAAAAGCUCGUAGUUGAAUGUUGGUGUCGAACGAGCGGUCAGCUUCGGCUGUACUGCUCUCUCGACUCCUUCCUUCUGUGGACUACGUCGCACUUUACUGUGUGGCGCUAGGACGCAGAUCGUUUACUGUGAAAAAAUUAGAGUGUUCAAAGCAGGCCGUACGCUUGAAUACAUUAGCAUGGAAUAAUGGAAUAGGACGUCGGGCCUAUUUUGUUGGUUCUAGGACCGUCGUAAUGAUUAAUAGGGACAGUUGGGGCCGUUUAUAUUCCGUAGUCAGAGGUGAAAUUCUUGGAUUUACGGAAGAUAAACUACUGCGAAAGCAUUCGGCAAGGAUGUUUUCGUUA